rnacentral:sRNA from 1 species
UUUAGCUGACAUUACUAAAAAUCUCAAAGAGACAAAGCUGAUCUAUAAGUUUUUCAUAUUUACCUGCAGGUCUAUUUAACAGAGCUCAAGUUCGACUUUUUCAUCUUUCUGAUGGUAAACUGGUAUGGAAAAGAGGUUCUCUUCUCAAGAAAAAUAAACACAUUGCUCUCAUUUCUCAGAUAAGUGACUAUGAACUGCAAGUAAAAGUUCAAGGUCCAAGACCAGAGAAUGUCAUUUUUCUUAUCCAUGAAAUUUUUGAAUCUUUGAUCCAAGAAUCAUUUCAUGGAGUUGUUUAUGAAUUUCAUGUUCCUUGUCCUGACUGCAUAA